AUAUGAUAGGCUCCUACAAAGAGAUCAAAGGAGCUGUGACAGAGAGGGGCUGCAGUGGCCAGGAGGACCCUGAAUGACAGAAGGGUUUGGGGGCUUGGAAGCGAGAAGGCUGAGCUCUAGUCAGGUGCACUUGGCUUUGACUUUCAUUUACCCAAGGUGGAAGAGAAGGAUUCCACAGUUAAAUUAUCGCAUCAGAAACUCCAAGGUUCGUAUAUGAUCCCCAAUGAAUUCCUCCUGGCAGCAUGGACAGCCAUUUAUCAAGAUUAGAGUCUGCCGCUGCUCUAGAAGUUUAAAUGAAAAUCAAGAUGAAUGCUGUCUUUGUUUUCAAGGGCUACUUGAACAACCUGACCCCCUAUGGUUUCAGGGCAGAGGAUUCAUGCCUUCAACAGGGGCUGCCAGUACACUGCAGCGUCAGUCUCUGUAUAACAGCAAUUGUCACUUGGUGCACAGUAUCACUGUUCUAACCCAAUUCAUUUUUAAAUAACGUAAUUUAAAAGAGUGCAUUGUGUUGCUUUUUGCCAAAUUAUCUAUAAUGCUGUGAUAGUUAACUUUAAAUUAGCUAGUUCUUUCCAAAGCAGUAAUAUGCAGUUGUGCAAACCAACCAACAAAGGCAGCAGCCCAACAAAACUGACCAAGAUGCAUACAUGUUUUGGCUCUGAAACAUCUGAUAGUUGGGAGGUUCUGACUGAUGCUAAAAUGGACACUUAGUUGAGUUUUUAAGAAGUUUUUUUUUUUUAAGGCCUUCUGUCUUAUUAAGAUUUAAGUUCUAUUGAUAAGGCUUCAAUCAUGUACUUGGUCAAGGGAUAUUUUUAGUCUAUUGUUUCUAUUAUAUAAGGUAGGCAUAAAUGAAAACUACCUGCCUAAAUACAUAUGAGUUCAUUAAAUCAAAUAAAGCUGAAUGUUCAGUUUCUAUGAAGGAUUCAGGGUUGCAUUUCUGCAUAGAAUU